AGUUUGAUCAGUGGCUCAGAGCGAACGCUGGCGGCAUGCUUAACACAUGCAAGUCGCGCGGUCAGCAAUGGCAGCGGCGGACGGGUGAGUAACGCGUAGGAACGUAUCCUGAGGUGGGGGACAACCCUGGGAAACUGGGGCUAAUACCGCAUAUGGGCUGAGGCCCAAAGCAGCAAUGCGCCUUUGGAGCGGCCUGCGUCCGAUUAGGUAGUUGGUGGGGUAAAGGCCUACCAAGCCUGCGAUCGGUAGCUGGUCUGAGAGGACGAUCAGCCACACUGGGACUGAGACACCGGCCCAGACUCCUACGGGAGGCAGCAGGUGGGGAAUAUUGGACAAUGGGGGCAACCCUGAUCCAGCAAUGCCGCGUGUGUGAAGAAGGUCUUCGGAUCGUAAAGCACUUUCGACAGGGACGAUGAUGACGGUACCUGUAGAAGAAGCCCCGGCUAACUUCGUG
rnacentral:rRNA from 1 species